rnacentral:rRNA from 1 species
CUCGUAGGUGGUUUGUCGCGUUGUUCGUGAAAUCUCACGGCUUAACUGUGAGCGUGCGGGCGAUGCGGGCAGACUUGAGUACUGCAGGGGAGACUGGAAUUCCUGGUGUAGCGGUGGAAUGCGCAGGUAUCAGGAGGAACACCGGUGGCGAAGGCGGGUCUCUGGGCAGUAACUGACGCUGAGGAGCGAAAGCGUGGGGAGCGAACA